UUUGCUUAGGUUGCUAGAGUAAUUUCUUCUUACUUACACUCAAAGAAACCUCACUGCUCUACUCCUUUGUUGGAAAACAAAGAAGGAUGUGUGCUGGAUCCAGACUUUUAACAAGGGUGGAGUCAAGAAGAUUACACCUUCAAGAAGGAUAAUGUGCGGAAUCCGUACCAAAUGGGAAUUGCAGGGUGCGGGCCUUCUGGAAGAGAACACGUGAGCAAAACUCAACAAAAGCAGUGAAAGCAGAACUAUCUGUUAAGAAAUGUGUGGAGCUGCCAGAAUCCUGCUGAGUGGCCCCUAACAUCUGGAACAGACAGCGGCAAAUGUGGGGAGUAAGAAAGUUAUUCUCCUGCUGUUCCUGGAAGAUAAAGUAAUGCUCAUUAAGGCUUGGAGUGAUGUCCAGGGAUUCAC